ACAGCAAAACAUUGCACCAGCCCUCCAUGAAGUGAUCAAGAGGAAGUGUCAGUCUACAGAGGCCUCAGAAGACCCUGUCCUUCAUUUUCAGCAGCUGGAGGAGAAGCAGCCUGUGCAGCAACAACAAGACAUUGAUGAUUAUACAACAACAUCAUUCAAAUCAUCUUCAAAGUGGACUGGAUGGAUCCAGGAUCAAGAGAUCAUUUUUUUGAAGACCAUAUACAGUGCAGCUCAGGAUGAAGAAGAGGAGGAACAUCUUUCAAUUUGCAAAGAUCCAAAGUGAAUAUAUAGAGACCAUCCUCCAAUCCUUGCCCCAGAAGACCUUGUAAGACAGACACUCUUCCUCUUCUCUCACAGCUCUCCAUCAUCUACCUCCGCAACACUGUCAGAAAGAGUCAAGUCAAGUCAAGUCAAAUUUAUUUAUAUAGCGCUUUUUACAAUUGGUAAUUGUUUCAAAGCAGCUUUACAUAUUAGAAGCACAGAA